UCAUACAUCCGUUUCAUUCUCUUAGUAAUAAAAACCCUCCCGUUAAACAUUUUAAACUACGUUUACUUGAUACAACCCUUUCAUUAAAAUCAACCCUCUCUUAAGAAAUCUGUAAUCCCUAAAAAUUUGGUGUCAACACAAAUAUUUCCAAAUAGUACGCGUAGACAAUUGACAAUAAGCAGAGCGUAUAUAUUCUCUAAUAUGCAUAUUAAUGGAAUCAUCUCACGCAUCAAGCAAAUCAUCAUUUUCAUCAUCACAAACAAGGAUAAUCAAGCAAAAAUGCAGAAUAAACCAAAAUGGCAAGCAGCCUAGUCAAGAAAAUGCUGAUAUUGUCUUAGACAUUGAAGACCAUCUAAAUGGUAUGUCAUUACAACUGGAUUCUAUAUAGAGAGCUGGUGUUGUAUAUCUGCUGCUACUUAGGCGACAAUUGUAAAGCCUAUCAACCAAACAUGGUUGAUAGGUUGGUUGGCAUAUUUGAAAUAUUUCAGUUUCUCAUUCUGGCGACGGCCAUUUCGUUAUUCCUAAUACUGAACUGAAGCAAGACUUUUAGGACAAACAUUUGAACCAACACCAUGCACUCCAAGUCAUCUCCUGGUAAUUCAAAUAUUCCACCUAGGGAAGUUUUUUCUGCUUCUGGCUUAUGGAAAUGACGAUGACAGUAUUAAAAUAUUCAAAUUUUGUGUUGCAAUUUCAUAAGCAGUUUUUGAUUAUGACAACCAACCUGAAGCCACUUACUUCUUGGCAAAUAACAUUCCAGCCAACCCAUAAUCCACAUCCCAUGGCAUGGUGGUCGCUCUCUGGCGCUCGUUUAUACAGCCACCAACCGGUUGUACUCUGCUGAUAUCAGUAGCAUCCAGUGGCACUCCCACUCCCGCUUCCACUAAACCAACGGCAUCAACCAAUCCCAAGUCAUUGAGACCGACAGCUAUCCAGCCAAGGCAGCAUUUUCUUUACGUAUAUUGCCAUUGUAAUAUUUUUGGUGGCA